GGGUCAGGCGCGACCCCGGCCCACGGAACCUCCCCGUCAAGCGUCCUGCCGGGGUCUUGGCGCCGCGUUAGAAACCCAUUCUUUCGUAGCUCUCAUUGUGGCGUUCGUGUGCAGCCUUGUUCAUUGUGGCCAUUUGCUAAAUUUUCGUGCCCAGAGCGAGUCGCUGCGUGUGAAGAGCCAGUGGCAUCGAUGUUUCCACAGCGAGUCACUGAUCAGCGCGCUGCUGUUGGCAGGUUUAGUUGAGGUUAGGGUGGUCUGUCGAGGAGCUCCCGCCCCCUGCGACUUGUCCACCGGUCUGCGGGGGAGUUGAGCCUGGUUGUAAACCUCCACACGGUGCGGUUCUCAGAGUAAUGGCUGUCUACAAGAAGACGCUGCAGACCAUCGCAGUCAUUUGAUCAGAGCGGAGGGCAGCCAAAGGCCUCAGUAUCUUGAGGAUCACAACACAAAAAGGCACAGUUUGACUGUUCCCUAUGAGCCGCCCCAGCCGGGCUCAGAGAUCACCACAAUCCUGUUCAACUUCAUGUGCAACAGCUCCUGCAUGGGAGGCAUGAACCGCAGACCCAUCCUCACCACAUCCUGACCCUUGAGACUUCAGACGGACAACUUUUGGGCCGAAGAUGCUUCGAGGUGCGUGUCUGCGCGUGUCCCGGCAGGGAUCGUAAAACAGAGGAGGCAAAUAGUGCCAAACUUCAGACAGGGGCCAAACAAGUGAAGAAAAGAAAAAGUGCCCCAGCAACAGAUCCUGAUAUGUGCAAAAGGAAGUCUGGCUCAAGCACAGACGAGGAGGAAGUACUUAUGUUGCCAGUUAAAGGCCGUGAGCGCUAUAACAUGUUAAAAAAGAUAAAUGAUGCAUUAGAACUGGCUGAAAAAGAGGC